CUUGCACACACUCUGAGAGCUCAACUGUGCAUGCACUUUUUUUUUUCUCUGUGGUGCGUGCAGACGUUCUGGGAAAGUUGUCUCCCUCCCUUCAUCUCUCUCUCCCUCCUCCCUCCCUCCUGCUCCUCUUCGUCGUCUAUCAUGUGCUUGGGAUGUGCUCGUGCUUUUUGCACAGAGCAGCUGUAGCACGCCUAUAAUGCAGGCUACUCAGUGUUAGCGGCAAUUUUAAAGUGAUGUGGGCCCCCCCCCCUCCACCUCACCAAUUAACACGGCUGGGAUAUUUGAAGCAGGGGGGGGGAGAGAGACCGUGGUGCGCGGUCCACAGACACGGCAGACACGGACCACACUCGACACCGCCGUUGUCACCCUCCUCCAGCCUGGGACGUUUUGCAGUGAUUUGACUCACCCCUCGGAAUGAUGGACGCGGGGAGCUGUGGACGACUGCGGGCAGCGAGAAGUGGAGGUCAACAUGGGAUUUUGCUCUUCACUGGACCCACGUGAGGUUGGCCGGGCCCCUCAAAGACUGUAACCCAGAAAUCAAAUGGCAUAAUGACUGGAUUCUCCGCGCUAAAGACGUCAAGGAUAUUCAGCCGAUAUGAGAGGUGCAUGAUUUGGAUGAUCGGUGAGAGAUGAGUCUGGAUGUCACCAAGAGAGGAGCUUGAUGAACUCUACACCUGAGGCUGAGAAGCUCCAGGAGCAUCAUUGUCCUGAACUCAUUCUUAAUAAUAAUAAUAAUGCAAUAUGUACAGUGUAUAUAUAUGGGAUAAUAUCUUUAUCCGAUGCACCGAAACUUUACAAUAUGUUAAUUUAUUUAAGAAACUUUAUUUCCUGUAAUUGACUGAGUCUAACAAAAGUAUCUUUUGACAGCAAAAAAAUAAAAAAUAAAAAAACAUGCUUUUCUGACUUUAAGUGAUGUUUUUAAGAGCGAGUUAUUUCCUGCUUUGUACCCCGGAUAAAGAACAAUGUACUUGACAUAAUUGGGUCCCGUUUAGUUGUGGAAAGAGCAUGCAUGGCAAUAUAAAGCCGACAGGGCGAUCAAAGCCACUGAUCAAACUCCCACAACUGACGCGCAUGAAAGGUGCAGGAAUCGGUAUCGUGAAGCCUCCUGAUUGAAAUCACUUACAUGCAGCGAUAUGCACUGUGUCUGUACUCUGUGUCUUCACAAUGAAAUGUAACUGCGGGUGCAGAAAUAAAAACAGUGAUUAAAAAUGA